GAAGCUCUGUUUCCUCAUUCUGUAACUCAAGAUCAAAUUAGUUUUGUAUUACAAGAGCUGCAACCAUGGAUAUGUUAACUAUCAUUAUCCUGAUGGUUCUUUUGAGAAAAUGUCAUGGGAACACUUAUCUACACUUCCAAGAAGAAGAAGAAGAAGAAGGAGAAAUAACAAUACCAUUCCAGUGUGAACAGGGACUUUGGCAAAUUGACAUAAACAACGACAACAUAGUGGAUUAUAACUGCAGUAUUACCAAGGAAAAUAUGUGGAAAGAAUGUGAACUUAAGGACUUUAAGUUGGUUAAAAAGACAGAAGAAAAUGUAUUUCUGUUGGAAACAGACAGCAGCGCAAUCUUGGGAUGUGUUCACAAUCACACUUCAAUAUCUAUAUUUCCCUUUAUUUUGUCAAGAGACCAGGUGGAUUCCUUUAUCGUGGCAUUUACUAAACCAGAGAUGGUGAGUGGUGGGCCUGAUGUGGAAACAAAAACCAUUGUCACCAAGCGCCAAGAAGAAACAGUCGAUCUUAUAUGUAAUUUCAAAUUAACUGAUCAAUAUUCUAAAGGUUACAUUUGUGUGUACUGGAUUAAGAUCACAAAUGAAAGAAGUACAUGUAUUUAUUCAUUUUCUUUGGGCGAUUAUGGAGAACAAGAAUAUUACCGUCACUGUCCAGUUGAUGAAUCCCUGCAUAAAAGAAUGUCAAAUACUUCAUCUGCAAACAAAGAAAAUCAUUGUCUUAAAAUCAACCAAGUGACACAUUCAGACAGUGGACAGUAUGUGUGUGCCUUAUAUGUACAGGAAAAUGAGAACAAAUGGUAUGGAAAAGUGAUCUCUAAUAUCACGGUCACUGUAAAAGACAACAGCACCUCCACAAACCAGUCACAUGGUGAGUUACAGUCCACUUUCAACACUAAUGCAACAAAUGAUCAUGCUUAAGUAAUACUCUGUUGAUGUUGAUUCUAUAAGUUUUGUGUUUUAGAUAAGAAUAACCUCAUCAUACUGUAUGUAGUGAGAGCUCUAUUGCUCUUCUGCCUCUUUGCUACUGUCAUUGUCAUGAGGAAAAAGACCAAGAAAUCCCAAGCAGAAAAUCAAAGUCUGGGAAUGAACAGAAACCAAGAUAGAGAGGAGACACUUGACUGACAAAGCAUGGUCACGAGAUGGCGCUAUUGGUCAGACGAAUAUUCAAUUAGACGAAGAU
ensembl:lncRNA